rnacentral:rRNA from 1 species
UGGGGAAUAUUGCACAAUGGGGGAAACCCUGAUGCAGCGAAGCCGCGUGAACGAAGAAGGUAUUCGUAUCGUAAAGUUCUAUCCUAUGGGAAGAUAAUGACAGUACCAUAGAAGAAAGCUCCGGCUAAAUACGUGCCAGCAGCCGCGGUAAUACGUAUGGAGCGAGCGUUGUCCGGAAUUAUUGGGCGUAAAGGGUACGCAGGCGGUUUAAUAAGUCGAAUGUUAAAGAUCGGGGCUCAACCCCGUAAAGCAUUGGAAACUGAUAAACUUGAGUAGUGGAGAGGAAAGUGGAAUUCCUAGUGUAGUGGUGAAAUACGUAGAUAUUAGGAGGAAUACCAGUAGCGAAGGCGACUUUCUGGACACAAACUGACGCUGAGGUACGAAAGCGUGGGGAGCAAACAGG